GAUGAACGCUAGCGGCAGGCCUAACACAUGCAAGUCGAGGGGUAGAACACUUCGGUGUUUGAGACCGGCGCACGGGUGCGUAACGCGUAUGCAAUCUACCUUGUACAGGGGAAUAGCCCAGAGAAAUUUGGAUUAAUGCCCCAUAGUAUAUAACCUUCGCAUGUUGGUUAUAUUAAAGUUCCAACGGUACAAGAUGAGCAUGCGUCCCAUUAGUUAGUUAGUAAGGUAACGGCUUACCAAGACGAUGAUGGGUAGGGGUCCUGAGAGGGAGAUCCCCCACACUGGUACUGAGACACGGACCAGAAGCCUACGGGAGGCAGCAGUGAGGAAGAUUGGUCAAUGGGCGCAAGCCUGAACCAGCCAUGCCGCGUGCAAGAAGACGGUCCUAUGGAUUGUAAACUGCUUUUAUACAGGAAGAAACAACUCUACGUGUAGAGUCUUGACGGUACUGUAGGAAUAAGGAUCGGCUAACUCCGUGCCAGCCGCCGCUGUAACAC
rnacentral:rRNA from 1 species